AACCUCUGCAAUAGGCGAAAGCUUGACAGGGUUACUCUGAGUGAUUUCCGUUAAGGAGAUCUUUUGGCACCUUGGUGCAGAAUAAGGGGUGGCAAGCUGGUGUCAGCCGCCGCGGUAAUACCAGCACCCCGAGUGGUCGGGACGUUUAUUGGGCCUAAAGCAUCCGUAGCCGGUUCUACAAGUCUUCCGUUAAAUCCACCUGCUUAACAGAUGGGCUGCGGAAGAUACUAUAGAGCUAGGAGGCGGGAGAGGCAAGCGGUACUCGAUGGGUAGGGUAAAAUCCGUUGAUCCAUUGAAGACACCAGUGGCGAAGGCGGCUUGCCAGAACGCCUCGACGGUGAGGGAUGAAAGCUGGGGGAGCAAACCGGAUUAGAUACCCGGGUAGUCCUAGCCGUAAACGAUGCGGACUGGGUGUUGGG
rnacentral:rRNA from 1 species